AAUGAUCCCUCCGCAGUUCACCUAA
rnacentral:rRNA from 1 species